AUGGGGCUCCGGCUGCGGCUGCGGGCAGCUCCGGAAGGGGGCGUUGUUUCUCUCUCAGAGAGAGACAGCUGCACUAUUUUAGGUAAAUCCCUCAUGCACUGGUGCCUAGAAACUGCCUCCAGGAACCACGAGACAGAAUAUUGCCGCUGUGCAGAAAGGGGCUCUCAUUUCUCAGUGAAGAGCUUCUGUAACAUCCAGAUGGAGACUAGAUUCGUUAGACUGGUGUAUUCCAGGGAACAAGGACCGUAUUCUUUUGCAUACAUGCAUUCAGUCACUCACUCAGUUCUUCUGAUCAUCUUAAUAUUCAGAGGGACCAGUGGUGACUCAGUGAACCAGACAGAAGGCCCAGUGACUGUCUCAGAGGGGGCUCUCAUGACCCUGAGCUGCACUUACCAGACUGCUAGGUCAGCUCCCUAUCUUUUCUGGUAUGUCCAGCAUCUCAACAAAGCUCCUCAACUCCUCCUGAAGGGCUUCACAGCAGACAAGAAGGUAGAGCAUGAAGGUUUUCAGGCCACUCUUGUGAAGAAGGACAGCUCCUUCCACCUGCAGAAACGGGCAGUGCAAGCAUCAGACUCGGCUGUGUACUACUGUGCUCUGAGGGACACAGUGAUGGAGGGCUGCAGGGGGAGCUGAGCACAAACCCAGAUGCAGAUGGGGCUCAGGCUGU